UUUCAUCGACCUUUCAUGCUACUUCUUGAUAAGUUAUCUUUGGAUUCUCAAUUAAUAUUUAUUAUUGAAGAGAACUGAAGAGAAUACGUACGCACCCUGCGCCUUCAUCUGCACCGAGAAUCUUCUGAACAUCUUUGCACCGUUUCUUCUUGGCCCUGAGAUGAAGCUGUGUGCAAUAUGGGCUUGGAUGCAUUUUCAGUCCGGUGCAGGACACGUAACCCUCAUCUGAGUUGUCGUGCUGACAAGAACAACACAGUAGCAAAUUUUACAGGGUUGCGUGCUUUACUUUACUUUUUUUUUUUUUUUUUUUUCCCCCCCUCCAGUCAUAAUCAUGGAACCACAGAAGCGUUACCCAGGCAGAAGGAGCCUUUGUCACCUGGACUUCCUACCAACGACACAGGCAGUGGAAGUCAGCAUCCCAAGCAUCCAUGAAACCCCUGCACAGGACUGGAAUACUUCAAGGCAGCUUUUCAAGGUUUCUUUGAGAACUCUCCAAGUCUCCAGGAAUUUUAAGCGCCAAGGUUUCUUAGCCUUCCGAAUGGCAGUGUUUCUAUCUAAGCUGGCAGCCUUUAAGCCCAAACCCAAACCGAAGCUUGCUCAUCUCAGUGGAGGAAGAAAAGCUUGAUGUCUGUGCCAAGGGAGACGUACACCGCACUUGCGCUGCCUGGACGAUGUGGAAACUGGAAAUUCUGGGGUGUGCUGAAGCAUGCCCUCUCAGGUCAGUCU